rnacentral:rRNA from 1 species
AAUCUUCCGCAAUGGACGAAAGUCUGACGGAGCAACGCCGCGUGAGCGGUGAAGGUCUUCGGAUCGUAAAACUCUGUUGUGAGGGAAGAACACGUAUCGUUCGAAUAGGGCGGUACCUUGACGGUACCUAACCAGCAAGCCACGGCUAACUACGUGCCAGCAGCCGCGGUAAUACGUAGGUGGCAAGCGUUAUCCGGAAUUAUUAGACGUAAAACGCGCGCAGGCGGUUUCUUAAGUCUGAUGUGAAAACCCACGGCUCAAGCGUGGGAGGUCAUUGGAAACUGGGAAGCUUGAGUGCAGAAGAGGAGAGUGGAAUUCCAUGUGUAGCGGUGAAAUGCGUAGAGAUAUGGAGGAACACCAGUGGCGAAGGCGACUCUCUGGUCUGCAACUGACGCUGAGGCGCGAAAGCGUGGGGAGCGAACA